rnacentral:rRNA from 1 species
GACAGGUGUUGCAUGGCUGUCGUCAGCUCGUGUCGUGAGAUGUUGGGUUAAGUCCCGUAACGAGCGCAACCCUUAUCCUUACUUGCCAGCACUUCGGGUGGGAACUUUAAGGAGACUGCCGGUGACAAACCGGAGGAAGGAGAGGAUGAUGUCAAGUCAUCAUGGCCCUUACGGCCUGGGCUACACACGUGCUACAAUGGGGAGUACAGAGGGCCGCGAAACCGCGAGGUGGAGCAAAUCUUAAAAAACUUCUCGUAGUCCGGAUUAGAGUCUGCAACUCGACUCUAUGAAGUCGGAAUCGCUAGUAAUCGCGAAUCAGCAUGUCGCGGUGAAUACGUUCCCGGG